CACAGGGAGAGGAGAUGCCCCUGGGGAAGGGUCAGUCCCACUGACCACUGGGGCCUGAAGUUCUGAUGAGGAAGAGGACCCAUGGCGGGUAGUGCAGACCGGCUCAUCCUACCAUCCUAUCAUAGAGCCUUGAUUUCAGGUCCUAAAGUAUAUUCACAACACUUCAGGGACAGAGAAAUGUAUAUAGUAGAAGUCGUAUCUUUGAUGCCUACUUUUUACAUUGAAGAAAGUGGCAGAGAGCUCAACCGCACUUCCAGCCCGGUUGUGGCCUGCGCAUGAGCAGAGGCCAGGAUUUCUCCUCUCCAGGAUCCCACUGCCAGAGACCAACUGGGAUCCAAGCAGUUAAACAGCUUAAUCCUAGGACUGUAUGAAAUAAAGGCUUAUGGACCCGGA